GAUCCAAUAACGAGAUAUAUGCAAUGAUGACGUCAUGAACUCGAUACCGAGAAACAUAUAACCCCAGUAAGUUUCUGGCGUUUAAAAAUAAUUUUAACAGGAGACCCCACCGUUUCUCAUGAUGCAACAUCAGUUAAUAUUUUCAAGAGAAGAUUCUUUAUAAAAAGAACGGUCGUUGAUCAUUCAAUUUCAUUUUUGCUGGAAAGUAUAUGUCUGAAAAACAUGAAAUUAAAAUUGUGAAGAAAACCGCGGCGUUGAAAAUAAAAAACAUGUUAUGAAAAAAUAAAGUUAUAGCACUGGAGGAUUUAAAAGGAAAAAUAAAAUAGUGGGAAUGAUUGUCAAUAAAAAAAACUUCAGCGCAAACAUACCAAGUAAAUAUUAGUAUACAGACAACUCUAGCGAACAUUAUAUAAAUACUGUUGACAAGCAUACACCAGGAGUCACUGUAAUUUGUGAUAAUGUCGUUGCACCUCAAUUGUCUGCUACUUUUUAUAUCAAGUCAAGGAAGUCUUCAUACAAUUUCGUCAUUUGUUGAUGGACUUGAUACAAACCCUGACACUUAUCUACUCACACCAGAGCUGGCAUCAAAAUAUGGUUAUCCACUGGAGGCUCAUAAAGUUAUAACUCAAGAUGAUUAUAUUCUGGAAAUGCAUAGGAUUCCAAUUGGACGAAAAUUUGGUAGAAAUAAUAGGUUACCGAUUCUAGUUCAGCACGGAUUAGGUGGUAGUUCAGCUGACUGGGUUCUUUCUGGUCCUAAGAAAGCUUUAGCUUACAUCUUGGCUGACGAAGGUUACGAUGUCUGGUUGGGAAACAAUCGUGGGAAUAUCUAUUCAAGAAAUCAUCGUCAUAUGCAGCCAAACAACCGAACAUUUUGGGAUUUUAGUUACCAUGAGCUGGGAGUCUAUGACAUGCCAGCAAUGAUUGAUCAUAUUUUACUGACAACGGGGCAUUCAAAAAUAUUAUUUAUUGGUCAUUCCCAAGGUACAACGCAGUUCUGGGUUAUGACCUCGGUAUUACCUGAGUACAACACAAGGAUCGCCCUAGCUGUUGGCCUCGCGCCCGCAGCCUAUACUGGUCACCUGCGAGGCCCAGUUACACAACUCACUAAGUUGACAUACUUUGGUGUGUCUGUCGGUGAAAAAUAUGGCUAUCCAGAAUUUGGCUCACGUUCAGCAUGGGGUAAAUUUGUAUCAAAUUUAUUUUGUCACGAAGGAGCACCUACGCAGUUUAUUUGUAGCAAUAAAUUAUUUAUGGUAGCUGGUUUUAGCCGUGGAGAAUUAAAUAUGGCUAAUUUAACUGUUAUUAUUGGACAUGUGCCUGCUGGAGCAUCUUGGAAGCAAUUCGUACACUUUGGCCAGGGUUAUAUUAAUCCAGGAACCUUCAAGGCAUUUGAUUAUGGUGAGUAUAAUAAUAAAAAUAUACGCCUUUACAAUUCAUCAAUUCCACCAGAUUAUCAACUUGAAAAAAUAACAGCACCUAUCGCGCUCUUCAGUAGUGAUAAUGACUGGCUAGCAACACCAGAGGAUGUUAAUAUGUUAAGAUCGAGGUUAAGUAAUGUCAUACUAGACUUUAAAGUACCGCCAAAUACCUUUAAUCAUUAUGAUUUUCUCUGGGGAAAUUCAGCUCGUCAAUUACUUUAUAAGCCAGUGCUUGGAUUACUCGAAAAAUAUCAGUAAUUAAGGCUAUAUAAAGAAUGGACAAGAAGAAGUAUUUUGUUCAUAAAAUGAGUAUUUCAAAAAAAUAAAAAUUAAUUCAUGUGAUACCGAACUAUAUAUAAAUACGCAUUGCUUUUAAAUGUGGAGAAAUACUAAUCAACAUAAUUUAAAAAAAAUUGACAAAUUAAAAAAAAAAUCCUGAUGUACAUCUAUAUUGUUUUCGUCGACUUAAUGGUGAAAUGAUUAAUUAA
rnacentral:misc_RNA from 1 species